GAUGAACGCUGACAGAAUGCUUAACACAUGCAAGUCGAUUCGAUUUACCUUCGGGUAUUGAGGAUGGCGGACGGGUGAGUAACGCGUAAGGAACUUGCCUCUUGGACUGGGACAACUGUUGGAAACGACAGCUAAUACCGGAUAUUAUGAGAUUCUCGCAUGGGAAACUUAUGAAAGCCAUAUGCGCCAAGAGAGAGCCUUGCGUUCCAUUAGCUAGUGGUGGGUAAGUAGGCCCACCAAGGCGACGAUGGAUAGCCGGCCUGAGAGGGUGAACGGCCACAAGGGGACUGAGACACGGCCCUUACUCCUACGGGAGGCAGCGAGUGGGGAAGUAUUGGACGAAUGGGCCACAAGCCUGAUCCAGCAAAUUCUGUGUGCACGAUGAAGGUCUUCGGAUCGUAAAGUGCUUUCAGUUGGG
rnacentral:rRNA from 1 species